rnacentral:rRNA from 1 species
GACGAACGCUGGCGGCGUGCUUAACACAUGCAAGUCGAACGCUGAAGCUCAGCUUGCUGGGUGGUUGAGUGGCGAACGGGUGAGUAACACGCGAGUAACCUGCCCUCUUCUUUGGGAUAACGCCCGGAAACGGGUGCUAAUACUUGACAUUCACUGUUUCUCGCCUGGGGGUUGGUGGGAAGGUUUCUUCUUGUGGGGGAUGGGCUCGUGGCCUAUCAGCUUGUUGGUGGGGUGAUGGCCUACCAAGGCUUUGACGGGUAGCCGGCCUGCGAGGGUGACCGGUGAAAUUGGGACUGAGAUACGGCCCAGAGUCAGACGGGAGGAGGCAGUGGGGAACAUUGCACGAUGGGCGGAAGCCUGAUGCAGCGGCGAGGCGUGAGGGAUGGAGGCCUUCGGGUUGUUAACCUCUUGCACGAAUGGUUAAGCCGCAGAUUUGGGUUGUGGUGAGGGUAGUGGGUAAAGAAGCGCCGGCUAACUACGUG